CCGAUUCGGGGAGGUAGUGACAAUAAAUAACAAUACAGGGCCAACGGUCUUGUUAUUGGAAUGAGAACAAUUUAAAUAACUUAACGAGGAUCAAUUAGAGGGCAAGUCUGGUGCCAGCAGCCGCGGUAAUUCCAGCUCUAAUAGCGUAUAUUAAAGUUGUUGCAGUUAAAAAGCUCGUAGUUGGAUUUCUGGCAGGAGUGACCGGUCACACACUCUGUGUGUGAACUCGCGUUGUCUCUGGCCAUCCUUGGGGAGAUCCUGUUUGGCAUUAAGUUGUCGGGCAGGGGAUACCCAUCGUUU
rnacentral:rRNA from 1 species